UGCGGCGAGAUGACCUGGUGGGCAUGGGAGGCUCAUAACCUCCACGUGGGGGGUUCGAUUCCCCCCGCCGCAACCA
rnacentral:tRNA from 1 species